rnacentral:rRNA from 1 species
CCUACGGGAGGCUGCAGUGGGGAAUAUUGGACAAUGGGGGCAACCCUGAUCCAGCCAUGCCGCGUGUGUGAAGAAGGCCCUCGGGUUGUAAAGCACUUUCAGUGAGGAAGAACGCCUGGUGGUUAAUACCCAUCAGGAAAGACAUCACCCACAGAAGAAGCACCGGCUAACUCCGUGCCAGCAGCCGCGGUAAUACGGAGGGUGCGAGCGUUAAUCGGAAUUACUGGGCGUAAAGCGCGCGUAGGUGGCUUGAUAAGCCGGUUGUGAAAGCCCCGGGCUCAACCUGGGAACGGCAUCCGGAACUGUCAAGCUAGAGUGCAGGAGAGGGAGGUAGAAUUCCCGGUGUAGCGGUGAAAUGCGUAGAGAUCGGGAGGAAUACCAGUGGCGAAGGCGGCCUUCUGGACUGACACUGACACUGAGGUGCGAAAGCGUGGGUAGCAAACAGGAUUAGAUACCCUGGUAGUC